rnacentral:rRNA from 1 species
CUUGGAUGAGUUGCGAACGGGUGAGUAACGCGUAGGUAACCUGCCUGGUAGCGGGGGAUAACUAUUGGAAACGAUAGCUAAUACCGCAUGAAAUUGCUUAUCGCAUGAUAAUUAAUUGAAAGAUGCAAUUGCAUCACUACCAGAUGGACCUGCGUUGUAUUAGCUAGUUGGUGAGGUAACGGCUCACCAAGGCGACGAUACAUAGCCGACCUGAGAGGGUGAUCGGCCACACUGGGACUGAGACACGGCCCAGACUCCUACGGGAGGCAGCAGUAGGGAAUCUUCGGCAAUGGGGGGAACCCUGACCGAGCAACGCCGCGUGAGUGAAGAAGGUUUUCGGAUCGUAAAGCUCUGUUGUAAGAGAAGAACGGGUGUGAGAGUGGAAAGUUCACACUGUGACGGUAUCUUACCAGAAAGGGACGGCUAACUACGUGCCAGCAGCCGCGGUAAUACGUAGGUCCCGAGCGUUGUCCGGAUUUAUUGGGCGUAAAGCGAGCGCAGGCGGUUAGAUAAGUCUGAAGUUAAAGGCUGUGGCUUAACCAUAGUAUGCUUUGGAAACUGUUUAACUUGAGUGCAGAAGGGGAGAGUGGAAUUCCAUGUGUAGCGGUGAAAUGCGUAGAUAUAUGGAGGAACACCGGUGGCGAAAGCGGCUCUCUGGUCUGUAACUGACGCUGAGGCUCGAAAGCGUGGGGAGCAAACAGGAUUAGAUACCCUGGUAGUCCACGCCGUAAACGAUGAGUGCUAGGUGUUAGGCCCUUUCCGGGGCUUAGUGCCGCAGCUAACGCGUUAAGCACUCCGCCUGGGGAGUAC